rnacentral:misc_RNA from 1 species
AAGUCGUAACAAGGUUUCCGUAGGUGAACCUGCGGAAGGAUCAUUACCAAAAAAUCCAAUACCAACCCCUUUUUUGUGAAUCUUUUGAAUGUACUUGGGAGAGAGGGACUAGAGAGGGAAAAUUUAUUUUUUUCCUUUUCUCUUUUUCUUUCUCCCAUGUUUAUUAACCUUAAAACACCUUUAAUUGGGUUAAACUCUUUUUUAUAGUAUAUUUUUUAAAACAAAAAAAAAUUAAAAGUUAAAACAACUUUUAACGGUGGAUCUCUUGGCUCGU